rnacentral:misc_RNA from 1 species
UUUUAAAAAUCCAAGGCAAACAAUGUAACAAAGAGGAGGGAAAAUGACAAGAACGAGCACAAAACAGAGGAAAUCUUAAACUUGAAAUCGUCUUCCACUAUACAGACCUGCAGAAUUAGUUUAGGACCUUAAGAGGGUACUGAAAAUCAUCAGCUUGAGUUGGUAGCCACUGCGAGUUCAACGGAUAUAAUGAAAGUUGAUUGCCCAGCCUCUCUUAGAUACUGAACUUCCCCAUUCAUCAGCUUGACCAGUUUUCUGCUGACAAGUAAGCUGAUCCCUUCUUCAGAUGCAUCGGCUUCACUACCAAACAUUUGGCCAAGCAAUUCUUCUGGCACUCCACCCCCUGUAUGUCUUAUCCUGAAUUCCAAGAGAGCAAGCUGAACAGAUUCUCCUAUACGAUCUUUUGUUAGCCUGCCUGAAAUACUAAGCUGGCCGCCACUUGGUGUAGCGUUCACAGAUACUAACAAAAAGUUAGCAAGGACUUGUUGAAGCCUCGGACUAUCUCCGUAUAAAGUUUCAUUAAGAAGAUCUUCAACCAUGUCAUUCGAGAUCAUUAUAUUCUUUCCGUUGCUCUUCAUCAUGACUUGACUUAUAGAUGCUACCAAUACUUCAUGCAGCUUAAACUCGAGCAUCUCCAGAUCCAAAUAACCAUCUAUGAUGCUAUCAAGAUCUGUAUCAUCAAGAAUUUUGUUGAGCUGACGCUGACACUGUGCACUUGUAUGCAGUAUAUUUUUCUGCUCUUCGCCCAAGCUAGUCCCCUCUAGCAUCUUCCGAGAGAAUAUAAUCCCAGAAAGAGGAUUCCUAAUUUGCCUCCUUAUGUAAGCUAAUACUUUCAAUCUUUUCAACGCAGUUUGUUCUGAUAAUCGUUGAACAUAAAGAGCUUGUUGCAACUCAUGGCUUGCAAGUUGCAGGAAACAAAAGAGUCCCGUGACUGCACCCUCUUUAUCUAACCUUUUGCUCACACAGAGUAAGCACUCCACAUAUUUCCCGUAACGUGCAAAGAAACCAAAAGGAAUCUUCUCAGAUUCUUGACCAGUGAUAGCAUUGUUUAGUACAACUCCGAAAUUUACAAACGCUUCUUGAUUCUUGAGACGGCAGCAAGCUGCCUGUGUCCCAAAAACCUCCCCUAACAGCAUUUUAUCCAUAACAUCAUCACGCCGCCAUCCAGUUAACUUGGUCAUUGCAGUGUUCCACUCAGAACACCAGCCAAAUUGAUCAGUGCCAAAUAUUGGUGGGAUCAAUGGG